rnacentral:rRNA from 1 species
ACAGGGGGCGCGAGCGUUGCUCGGAAUCACUGGGCGUAAAGCGUACGCAGGCGGGUCGAUAAGUCCGUUGUGAAAUCCCAGGGCUCAACCCUGGAACUGCAGUGGAGACUGUCGAUCUUGAGUACGGGAGAGGGGAGCGGAAUUCCUGGUGUAGAGGUGAAAUUCGUAGAUAUCAGGAGGAACACCGGUGGCGAAAGCGGCUCCCUGGCCCGAUACUGACGCUCAUGUACGAAAGCGUGGGGAGCAAACAGGAUUAGAUACCCUGGUAGUCCACGCUGUAAACGAUGAGUGCUAGUUGCUGGAACACCUUCUUUGUUUCGGUGGCGUAGCUAACGCGUUAAGCACUCCGCCUGGGAAGUACGGUCGCAAGACUA